rnacentral:rRNA from 1 species
CAGCCGCCGCGGUAAUACGGAGGGUGCGAGCGUUACCCGGAUUUACUGGGUGUAAAGGGCGUGUAGGCGGUCUCUCAAGUCCGAUGCUAAAGACCGAAGCUCAACUUCGGGGGUGCGUUGGAUACUGUGAGGCUAGACGGUCGGAGAGGGUAGCGGAAUUUCCGGAGUAGCGGUGAAAUGCGCAGAUACCGGAAGGAACGCCAAUAGCGAAAGCAGCUACCUGGACGAUUUGUGACGCUGAGGCGCGAAAGCGUGGGGAGCAAACCGGAUUAGAGACCCCAGUAGUCCCUGUCUCUUAUAC